rnacentral:rRNA from 1 species
GGACUACUGGGGUAUCUAAUCCUGUUUGCUCCCCACGCUUUCGUGCCUCAGCGUCAGUGACUGUCCAGAAGGCCGCUUUCGCCACUGGUGUUCCUUCCGAUAUCUACGCAUUUCACCGCUACACCGGAAAUUCCGCCUUCCUCUACAGUACUCUAGUAAUACAGUCUUGAAUGCAACCCCCAAGUUAAGCUCGAGUCUUUCACAUCCAACUUAUAUCACCGCCUACGCACCCUUUACGCCCAGUAAUUCCGAUUAACGCUUGCACCCUCUGUAUUACCGCGGCUGCUGGCAC